AUACGGAGGAUGCGAGCGUUAUCCGGAUUUAUUGGGUUUAAAGGGUGCGUAGGUGGUGAUUUAAGUCAGCGGUGAAAGUUUGUGGCUCAACCAUAAAAUUGCCGUUGAAACUGGGUUACUUGAGUGUGUUUGAGGUAGGCGGAAUGCGUGGUGUAGCGGUGAAAUGCAUAGAUAUCACGCAGAACUCCGAUUGCGAAGGCAGCUUACUAAACCAUAACUGACACUGAAGCACGAAAGCGUGGGGAUC
rnacentral:rRNA from 1 species